rnacentral:rRNA from 1 species
AUACGUAGGUGGCAAGCGUUGUCCGGAAUUACUGGGUGUAAAGGGAGCGCAGGCGGGCGUGCAAGUCAGCUGUGAAAUCCAUGGGCUUAACCCGUGGGCUGCAGUUGAAACUGUAUGUCUUGAGUGAAGUAGAGGUAGGCGGAAUUCCGAGUGUAGCGGUAAAAUGCGUAGAUAUUCGGAGGAACACCGGUGGCGAAGGCAGCCUACCUGGCUGAUACUGACGCUGAUGCACGAAAGCGUGGGGAGCAAACAGGAUUAGAUACCCUGGUAGUCCACGCCCUAAACGAUGCCAACUAGUUGUUCGGGAAGGAGACUUCUUGAGUAACGAAGCUAACGCGUGAAGUUGGCCGCCUGGGGAGUACGGUCGCAAGAUUAAAACUCAAAUGAAUUGACGGGG